rnacentral:rRNA from 1 species
AGAGAGAGACAUGCGCGCAUAUCAAUAAGCGGAGGAAAAGAAACUAACAAGGAUUCCCUUAGUAACGGCGAGUGAAGCGGGAAGAGCUCAAAUUUGAAAUCUUCAAGGUUUUACCUUGACGAAUUGUAGUUUAAAGAAGUGUUUUCUGCUGAAGUUUUGGUAAAAGUUCUUUGGAAUAGGACAUCAUAGAGGGUGAGAAUCCCGUAUUUGACCAUUAUUUUCAGCUUUGUGAUACACUUUCAAAGAGUCGGAUUGUUUGGGAAUGCAGUCCAAAGUGGGUGGUAAAUUUCAUCUAAAGCUAAAUAUUGGCGAGAGACCGAUAGCGAACAAGUACCGUGAGGGAAAGAUGAAAAGAACUUUGAAAAGAGAGUUAAACAGUACGUGAAAUUGUCAAAAGGGAAGCGUUUGACACCAGUGUUGUUUUCUCGAAAAUCAAUUAAAAAAGGCAGGAUUUUGUAUUGUUGAGACCUUAAAAGCUCACUGUACAUUUUUCGUGUCUUUUUUAAUGCACUUUUCGUUUAACAAGUCAACAUCAGCUUCUUUUGUUGUAAAAGGGUCAUUGGAAGGUGGCUUUCUUUUCGGAGAAAGUGUUUAUAGCCUUUGGCCUCUGCAAUCGGAAGAGACUGAGGUCUGCAGCGUAGACUCUUCGGGGUUAGAUACAUUUGUGCUAAGUUAUAGCUUUUUAUAGACAACUUGUUGACUAUAAUUAGUCUUGUAGCUUACUCGCUUAUGCUAUUUUACCUACGCUUAGGAUGUUGAGUCGUAGAGCCACGCAG